UGGGGAAUAUUGCACAAUGGGGGAAACCCUGAUGCAGCGACGCCGCGUGAGUGAGGAAGUAUUUCGGUAUGUAAAGCUCUAUCAGCAGGGAAGAAAAUGACGGUACCUGACUAAGAAGCCCCGGCUAACUACGUGCCAGCAGCCGCGGUAAUACGUAGGGGGCAAGCGUUAUCCGGAUUUACUGGGUGUAAAGGGAGCGUAGACGGAAGCGCAAGUCUGAUGUGAAAAUCCGGGGCCCAACCCCGGAACUGCAUUGGAAACUGUGAUUCUAGAGUGUCGGAGAGGCAAGUGGAAUUCCUGGUGUAGCGGUGAAAUGCGUAGAUAUCAGGAGGAACACCAGUGGCGAAGGCGGCUUGCUGGACGAUGACUGACGUUGAGGCUCGAAAGCGUGGGGAGCAAACAGG
rnacentral:rRNA from 1 species